GCCAGGUGCAGUGGUGCACACCUGUAAUCUCAGCUAUUUGGGAGGCUGAGGCAGGAGGAUUGUAAGCUCAAGGCUAGCCUGGGAACUUAGUGGGACCCUGUCUCAA
rnacentral:sRNA from 1 species